AUUGAACGCUGGCGGCAUGCUUUACACAUGCAAGUCGAACGGCAGCACGGGUGCUUGCACCUGGUGGCGAGUGGCGGACGGGUGAGUAAUACAUCGGAACGUAUCCAGAAGAGGGGGAUAACGCAUCGAAAGAUGUGCUAAUACCGCAUAUUCUCUGAGGAGGAAAGCAGGGGAUCGAAAGACCUUGCGCUUUGGGAGCGGCCGAUGUCUGAUUAGCUAGUUGGUGGGGUAAAGGCCUACCAAGGCGACGAUCAGUAGUUGGUCUGAGAGGACGACCAGCCACACUGGGACUGAGACACGGCCCAGACUCCUACGGGAGGCAGCAGUGGGGAACUUUGGACAAUGGGCGCAAGCCUGAUCCAGCAAUGCCGCGUGAGUGAAGAAGGCCUCGGUUGUAAG
rnacentral:rRNA from 1 species